rnacentral:rRNA from 1 species
AUCCCUCUUGCCCAUGUCCUGAACCUUGGAGUUCUCCAACCAUCCAGCAUCUCAGAACCUAUUGUGAGAGGUUAUGUGAGGUGGACAACUUUGUAAAAGAGUUUUCAACUUUAACGAGGAUCCAUUGGAAGGCAAAUCUGGUACCAGCUCCAUAGAGUAUAUAAAAGUUGCUGCAGUUAAAAGCUUGUAUUGAAUCUUGGGAUCAAGCUGGUGGUCUGCCGUGAAGCAAGCUACCGCCUGUCCCAGUCCUGCCUCUCAGCGCCCCCUUUAUGCUCUUGACUGAGUUUCCUGAGGGUCCGAAGCAUUUACUUUGAAAAAAUUAGAGUGUUCAAAGCAGACCGGCCACCUGAAUACUUCAGCUAGGAAUAAUGGAAUAGGACUCUGGUUCUAUUUUGUUGGUUUUCGGAACUGGGGCCAUGAUUAAGAGGGACAGCCAGGGGCAUUCGUAUUGUGCCGCUAGAGGUGAAAUUCCUGGACCGGUGCAAGACGAACCACUAGCGAAAGCAUUUGCCAAGAAUGUUUUCAUUAAUCAAGAACGAAAGUCAGAGGUUCAAAGAUGUUCAGAUACCGUUGUAAUUCAGACCAUAAACGAUGCCGACUAGCGAUCCAGCUGUGUUAUUCCCAUGACCCAUAGAGCAGCUUCCGGGAAACCAAAGUCUUUGGGUUCUGGGGGGAGUAUGGUUAAAAAGCUGAAACUUAAAGGAAUUGAUGGAAGGGCACCACCAGGAGUGGAGCAUGUGACUUAAUUUGACUCCACACGGGAAACCUAACCCGACCCGGACACGGAAAUGAUUGACAGAUUGAUAGUUCUUUCUCGAUUCUGUGGGUGGUGCAUGGCCAUUCUUAGUUGGUGCAGUGAUUUGUCUGGUCAAUUCUGAUAAUGAACAAGACUCCUCCUUGCCAGCGGUCGGCAUUCAACUUCUUAGAGGGACAAGUGGUGUUCAGCCACAUGAGAUCGAGCAAUAACAGGUCUGUGAUGCACUUAGAUGUCCGGGGCAGUAUGCUUGCUACACUGAAAGGAUCAGCGUGUGUCUACCCUUCACCGAGAGGUGCGGGUAACCCGCUGAACCCUGUUUGUGAUAGGGAUUGGGAAUUAUUUCCCAUGAGCGAGGAAUUCCCAGUAAGUGCGGGUCAUAAACGUUCGUUGAUUAAGUCCCUGCCCUUUGUACACACCACCCGUCGCUACUACCGAUUGGAUGUUUUUGGAUCAGCCCCUCUGGUUGUAAAGACUGGAGGGGGGUAUCUGUACUCCUGCUCUCUAUAUGGUAGAGGAGAGGCACGGAGGACCCCAG